UACGUAGGCAGCGAGCGUUGUUCGGAGUUACUGGGCGUAAAGAGUGCGUAGGCGGUUUUCUAAGUUUGGUGUGAAAUCUCCCGGCUCAACUGGGAGGGUGCGCCGAAGACUGGAAGGCUAGAGUAUGGGAGAGGUAAGCGGAAUUCCUGGUGUAGCGGUGAAAUGCGUAGAUAUCAGGAGGAACACCUGCGGUGUAGACGGCUUACUGGACCAUCACUGACGCUGAGGUACGAAAGCGUGGGUAGCAAACAGG
rnacentral:rRNA from 1 species